rnacentral:lncRNA from 1 species
AAAUAAUUUGUUUCAAAGGUUCAGAGAGUAUAAAAUUACUGUUCUGAUGAGAUUUUACCACAGCAAAAACUCAGGGUCGUGACACCAGUGGGAAGGAAUGUUGUUAGCACUCAUUUAAAGAAAAAUAAUUUCUGUGCAUUGUGUAGUGCUGGAACAAAGCAUCUCACUUACAAAACCUCUGAUUCUUCCUGGCUCUUUCAUCCUAUUAAAGCUUGCUCAGCGAACCGUUUAAUCAGGGCUAAACCUUCAUCUGUGCUGUGGACUCAAGACCUGUGUUACUUGGCUUGUCAAAGAAACACCUGGCACUGGACCUGCAAUACCUGGGAACUAUUCUUCUCCAGCAGUGACAUCUCCAGAAGAGGAAAGAGGUAGAAGGCAUUCGGGUAGAAGGCAUCACAUCCAUGCCAUGUGUCUUCCAAAGCUUCUCACUAAUUUCUGCUCUUUGGUGGAAUCUCAGCAGCUACCGCAGAGAGCAAAAGUCCUGUAAAGGUAAGAAAAACUGAGCAGGGUUUAAAUGCUGGGUGAUCUUGGCCAAGAUACAUCUUCUGAACAGAAAUGCCAAAUGUAGAAAGCAUUAUCUCGAGAUAAAGGCCUUAGGUUGUGUUCUGCUUAAGACCCCGUAUUAAUCUAACAGUAUCAGUGCUGCCAAAUUUGUGUAGUUGAAAAAAUAUCCAUGCUUUAUCCUGACACAGGCAGCACCAGAAAAAAGGUCAGCUGGUGGUCAGCAUCAUGCUUCACUCAUUUGUCAGCACAGAGCUGAAUGUUUCCAGAAAGUGGACAUUUGUACCCUGAGGAGCAUUGUUAAGGUAUGCGUUAUCUAUUUGUGAAAUCUGGUUUUCCACAGGCAAAAUAUUUAUUUCUGAAGCUUUAAUUCCCAGUCAGGGCAAUUUAACGUCUCUGCAACUCAGCUUAGUGUUGUGAAUGUACUGAGCAGAGGAAACACAGCUUGAUACUUGGGCUGUGCUGCUGGCAGCUGAAAAAAUCUAGUCAUGACUUGCAAACUAAGUGUUAUGAAAUCAGUAAUACUGGAUAAACACGGAACAUCUGGAUUUCAUCCCUUAUAACACCACCUUUUGACUGUAAAGAAGUGCUCACAGUAAAACUAAUCCAAACUGAAGAUUGUAAACUAAAUGUACAAGAGUGUAAAGACGCCUCUGCACUUGAGACAUCAGCAGGUAAAUGCACAAAGGCCUGGCUGUGUAGACAGUCCCCGCAGAAGUCACGGAACAGAUGCAGAGGCUUGGUUUGUGCUCAGAGGUUCACCCAGAUAAUGGGAUUACCCUGAAGCUGGGGAGAAACUUCACGCCCUUUGUGAGCUUGUCUUCAACAAGGGAUAUAUUGAACAAGCACUGUAAUCUUAGAGUGCAACCUUACACUAAUGCAUAGUCAAACUAAUUUUUUGUCACUCUCAGCUGCUUGCUCCCACGGUUUUCCUUGAACUACCUGUCCUUGCCCUGUGUCAGCUCUAUAUGCACACAAACUGAAUAAUUCUGGGGGCUGGCUUGCUGACUGGAAUUUCCACAAAUGUUUUGCUUUUGCUGCUGAUGACUUUGGGGUUAGAAAUGUGCACAAGUGUCUUUGGGACCAUGCAUUGGAUUUGAUCCUGCCCUCAUUACAGUUAAUGGCCAAAGUCACAUGAACUGCAGCAGGAACAGGCUUGUUUAAUGGAAAAAAGCCUGGAAAUACUGUACAAAACACAGUGUAGCUUUCCAAAACUGGAUGCGAUUGACAACACCAUUGUAGUGUUUUGUUAGACUAGACAACCAAAUAAUCUGUGUAGCAGCCAAAUACAGGCAUGUUUUCUUUAUAGUCAGAAAAAAAAUAUAUAAAAAAAAAACCUGUUGAACAGCUUCUAAGUUUUUGGAACUCAGACCAUGAUGCAGAUGCAAUAAAGUCAACUGUCUACCAGCA